rnacentral:rRNA from 1 species
GGAAUUGUUCGCAAUGGGCGCAAGCCUGAUGACGCAAUGCCGCGUGGAGGAUGAAGACCUUCGGGUCGUAAACUCCUUUCGACCGAGAUGAACGCCUGCCGGCCCAAUCCGCCGGCAGAUUGACAGUAUCGAGGGCAGAAGCCCCGGCUACCUCCGUGCCAGCAGCCGCGCUAAUACGGGGGGGGCGAGCGUUGUUCGGAAUUACUGGGCGUAAAGGGUUCGUAGGUGGCCUUCUAAGUCAGAUGUGAAAUCCCUCGGCUCAACCGAGGAACUGCAUCUGAAACUGGAGGGCUCGAGUGCAGGAGAGGAACGCGGAAUUCCAGGUGUAGCGGUGAAAUGCGUAGAUAUCUGGAGGAACACCGGUGGCGAAGGCGGCGUUCUGGACUGCAACUGACACUGAGGAACGAAAGCCAGGGGAGCAAAC